rnacentral:rRNA from 1 species
UGGGGAAUAUUGCACAAUGGGCGAAAGCCUGAUGCAGCGACGCCGCGUGAGGGAUGACGGCCUUCGGGUUGUAAACCUCUUUCAGCAGGGAAGAAGCGCAAGUGACGGUACCUGCAGAAGAAGCACCGGCUAACUACGUGCCAGCAGCCGCGGUAAUACGUAGGGUGCGAGCGUUGUCCGGAAUUAUUGGGCGUAAAGAGCUUGUAGGCGGUUUGUCGCGUCUGCUGUGAAAAUCCGGGGCUCAACCCCGGACUUGCAGUGGGUACGGGCAGGCUAGAGUGUGGUAGGGGAGACUGGAAUUCCUGGUGUAGCGGUGGAAUGCGCAGAUAUCAGGAGGAACACCGAUGGCGAAGGCAGGUCUCUGGGCCACUACUGACGCUGAGAAGCGAAAGCAUGGGGAGCGAACAGGAUUAGAUACC